AUUGAACGCUGGCGGCAGGCCUAACACAUGCAAGUCGAGCGAGCGGCGGACGGGUGAGUAAUGUAUGGGGACUGCCCGAUAGAGGGGGAUAACUACUGGAAACGGUGGCUAAUACCGCAUACUGGCGGAUAACCCAUAUGGGAUUAGCUAGUAGGUCAGGUAAUGGCUUACCUAGGCGACGAUCCCUAGCUGGUCUGAGAGGAUGAUCAGCCACACUGCGACUGAGACACGGCCCAGACUCCUACGGAGGCCGCAGUGGGGAAUAUUGCACAAUGGGCGCAAGCCUGAUGCAGCCAUGCCGCGUGUAUGAAGACGGCCCUAGGGUUGUAAAGUACUUUCAGUCGGGAGGCGUUACCGACAGAAGAAGCACCGGCUAACUCCGUGCCAGCAGCCGCGGUAAUAC
rnacentral:rRNA from 1 species